AACGCACAUUGCGCCCAUCAGUAUUCUGUUGGGCAUGCCUGUUCGAGCGUCAUUUCCACCCUCAAGCCCUAGCUGCUUGGUGUUGGGGCACUCUACACUUUGCUGUAGGCCCCGAAAAUCAGUGGCGGUCUCACUGGGACUCCGAGCGCAGUAGAUUUCUCUCGCUUAGGGGCGACCAGUGGGUUUCUAGCCGUUAAACCCCCCAAGUCUUAAAAGGUUGACCUCGGAUCAGGUAGGAAUACCCGCUGAACUUAA
rnacentral:misc_RNA from 1 species